GCUGGCGUCGGUGCUGGGGAGCGGCCCCCGGCGAACCUCUGCUCUGGCCCCUCCUGGGGCCCACACUCUCGCUCUGGGCCCG
ensembl:miRNA